rnacentral:miRNA from 9 species
CUGGCCAUUCCAUUGUCUGGC